GAUGAACGCUGACAGAAUGCUUAACACAUGCACGUCAACUGUGGCGGACGGGUGAGUAACGCGUAAAGAACUUGCCUCACAGAUAGGGACAACAUUUGGAAACGAAUGCUAAUACCUGAUACUGUGAGAGAGCUUUGCGUCCCAUUAGCUAGUUGGAUAGGUAACGGCUCACCAAGGCGAUGAUUGGUAGCCGGCCUUAGAGGGUGAUCGGCCACAAGGGGCCUGGGACGCUGCCCUUACCCCUACGGGAGGCAGCAGUGGGGAAUAGUGGACAUUGGCCCAAAGUCUGAUCCAUCUAUUCUGUGCGCACGAUGAAGUUUUCGGAAUGUAAAGUGCUUUCAGUUAGGAAGCAGAACCAACAGAAGAAGUAACGGCUAAAUACGUGCCAGCAGCCGCGGUAAUAA
rnacentral:rRNA from 1 species